CCUGAGAAACCCAAAAGAUCGAAUGGGGAGAUUCAUCGUCAGCUCAUUUUGUAUAUAUAUAAGUUAUGAUAUGGGUUACUACUUGUAGUAUUGCCUGUACAUUCUUGUAUAUUUUAUUGCAUUAUGUUGUCGGCGUGCACUUCUCCCCUAGUAGGACGUCGCGACCCGUUGAGUGUCGGUCUACGGCCCAAGUGGUAGCCUUUAAUUUUUAUUAAUUGAAGACCCUUGGUGUUUCCUGGCUGGCUACUCGGCGGUAUUCGUACGGUAUUAAGCCGCAUUUUUUAUGCGUUCAUAUCCGUCGCAAGCGCGGUCAAUUUUUGGCAGUACGGACCUAGUGCCGUCGCUAUAAUUGACCAGCUGUUGGUUGUACGGUAUUCUAGAACUGGCUUUAAAUUAUAUACCGGUCAGCGAUGCUACUGCUUUGGGUACUUUCAGGACCCGUCUUGAAACACGGACCAAGGAGUCUAACAUGUACGCGAGUCAUUGGGAUUUUUUUUUAAAUUAAACCUAAAGGCGUAAUGAAAGUAAAGGUCGUCCUUGUGACGAUUGAGGGAGGAUGAGUUGUGUUAAGAUACAGCUUCGCACUCCCGGGGCGUCUCAUUCUCAUUACGAGAAGAGGCGCACCUAG
rnacentral:rRNA from 1 species